UGCUGGAUGAAACAAUACCUGUGCAUCUUUACAUGCACGAACCAACGUGGUAGAGGUUUCAGUAGAUAAAACUGUGUCGUACUUUCCCAAAAGGUGAAGAGUGGGAAGAUCAAGUUUGGUAGCAUGAACAGCACCAUCCAUGAGAAGAGGACGGAAGUAUCCACUAAAGAACAAUGCAAACCGGAAAGGCGGUUGUGAGAAAUAUUCCUGGUAUUUGGGUAUAGUAACUAAAGCGGCCAAGUUAGCAGCCAAAUUCGUACCCUGAGAGAA